rnacentral:misc_RNA from 1 species
GAAAUGCGAUACGCAAUGCGAAUUGCAGAAUUCCGCGAGUCAUCAGAUCUUUGAACGCAAGUGGCGCUGGAUUAACCUCCAGCAUGUUUGUUUCAGUGUGUUAGGAAUCGCACACCUCAGUGUGGUUGAAGAUCUUUUGUAACAAAAAGAUUUUCUCCCAUUAAACACGACUGCGCCCCGAGCUUCCUCUCUCUCUUUCUUUACGGGAAGGGAGUGAAAAAGCACAUUCGCCUGGUGGCAGAACGAAGUAGUCACUUCAUCGUGAGUGAUCUCGUUUUGCAAUAAACCCACCUGCAAAAAAAAGGCUUAAGUGUAGGGAGCUCACAACAAAAAGGGCGUAUUUAAAAAGAAAAAAACUAUCUCUUUUUCGACACCUGAAAUCAAGCAAGAUCACCCGCUG